rnacentral:rRNA from 1 species
AGGGGUAAACCUGAGAAACCCGAAAGGUCGAAGGGAGAAAUUCAUCGCGUUUCGCGGUAGACGGCGAGCGGUCGCGCGACGGAAGAACGUUUACGCUCUUUCGCGCCUUCAGUUCGUCGAAUCUGCCGCGAACGCGUGCACUUUUCUUCUGGUAGGACGUCGCGAUCCGUUGGGCGUCAGUCUACGGCUCGAGGUGGAGCCCGCUCGUCGCCUUCAUCAGCGUACGGACGGACCCUCGCGUCCCGGCUGACUCGCUCGACGGUACACUCGAAAGGUUAGGGGCCGCUCAUCUGCGAGCGUUCGGCUCGCGGCAAGCGCGUCAGACGUGUCGGCGAUCGGACCCAGUGCCGAUUCCGACCUCUGGCGACUGUUGGCCGUCGAAGUUCUCGAACAGACCCGUUGACCGAUCUGCGACGCUAUAGCUUUGGGUACUUUCAGGACCCGUCUUGAACACGGGAGCAAA